rnacentral:lncRNA from 1 species
CUAAGUCCAAAGAUAUAAUUUGGGCACCUUUCACCCACUGGGAGGCCCCGAGAAACUGAAAGCAGGUCUGAAAAACAAAUGGCCUCAUGACCCUACGUCCACUGCCUCCAAUACCCUCAGGAGACCUUUUCCUUGGAUUGAAUUCNNNNNNNNNNNNAGCUAGCAGUGGUUUCUGUUACUUGGAACCAAGAGGGUCCUAACAAAGGUCCUAACAAAGGAAAAGUUUCAUACAUGGCAGAAUAUUUCUUAUUACUUAUUGCAUUUUAUGGUAAUUAUAGAUAGAGUACAAAACAUCAUCUCCCUGGAAAGGAUGCAGCUAAAAUGUUGACACCUCUCAAAUUACUGAGACAAAUAACAUCAGUGGGCAGUAUACUCAUUGGCCAGUUUCACAGGUAAAAUGUGGCUAACUACUCCAGCUCGCUUGGCACUGUUUCCUAAGGAAUGAACUGGAUGGAAUUAAAAAAUGGUCCCUUCAGACUAGAAGACUUCGAAGUCCAGCUCCAGCCUCCAGCAAUCAAACCUAGAAGGAAAGAGGGGGCAGAAACUCAGUCUUCUUUGGAGGUUUACCAGAUGCAUUGCCAACUCUCCCUGCAACUUUCUUGGAAAGCUCUGAAGGCACAUUCUGUUCCUGUUGUUUUGCGGUGAACCGAGGCUGAGGACGGGGCUGUGAAGCAUCCUACAGGUGGGCUGCUACGCCAUCAGAAGUUCAAGGUGAACUCUAACCUCCUUAGAGAAGAGCCAGGUGAGAUGAGCAUGUGUGGGUUGAAGUUUCUGUACUGAUUUUCAAGCCUAGGCCUGCACGCUAGACCUCCCUUGGGAACUGUUAAACCAUAGCAAUGUCCACAUCCCACACGUCUGGGAGAAUGUAUUUUAAAAAGCUUCUCAAUGUGACGAAAGGGCA